rnacentral:rRNA from 1 species
UACGUAGGGACCGAGCGUUGUCCGGAAUCAUUGGGCGUAAAGAGCGUGUAGGCGGCCAUUUAAGUCCUGCGUGAAAUCCUGCGGCUCAACCGCAGACGGUCGUGGGAAACUGGAUGGCUAGAGUGCGGGAGAGGAGAGUGGAAUUCCCGGUGUAGCGGUGAAAUGCGCAGAUAUCGGGAAGAACACCCGUGGCGAAGGCGGCUCUCUGGGACGGUACUGACGCCGAGACGCGAAAGCGUGGGGAGCGAACAGG